rnacentral:rRNA from 1 species
GAUGAACGCUAGCUACAGGCUUAACACAUGCAAGUCGAGGGGCAGCGGGAUUGAAGCUUGCUUCAAUUGCCGGCGACCGGCGCACGGGUGAGUAACGCGUAUCCAACCUUCCGUACACUCAGGGAUAGCCUUUCGAAAGAAAGAUUAAUACCUGAUGGUAUGAUGAGAUUGCAUGAUAUCAUCAUUAAAGAUUUAUCGGUGUACGAUGGGGAUGCGUUCCAUUAGGUAGUAGGCGGGGUAACGGCCCACCUAGCCAACGAUGGAUAGGGGUUCUGAGAGGAAGGUCCCCCACAUUGGAACUCAGACACGGUCCAAACUCCUACGGGAGGCAGCAGUGAGGAAUAUUGGUCAAUGGACGAGAGUCUGAACCAGCCAAGUAGCGUGAAGGAUGAAGGUCCUACGGAUUGUAAACUUCUUUUAUAAGGGAAUAAACCCUCCCACGUGUGGGAGCUUGUAUGUACCUUAUGAAUAAGCAUCGGCUAACUCCGUG